rnacentral:rRNA from 2 species
GGUCAAGUGAAGAAGCGCAUACGGUGGAUGCCUUGGCAGUCAGAGGCGAUGAAAGACGUGGUAGCCUGCGAAAAGCUUCGGGGAGUCGGCAAACAGACUGUGAUCCGGAGGUAUCUGAAUGGGGGAACCCAGCCAUCAUAAGAUGGUUAUCUUGUACUGAAUACAUAGGUGCAAGAGGCGAACCAGGGGAACUGAAACAUCUAAGUACCCUGAGGAAAAGAAAUCAACCGAGAUUCCCUUAGUAGUGGCGAGCGAACGGGGACCAGCCCUUAAGUUGUAUUGAGAUUAGCGGAACACUCUGGAAAGGGUGGCCAUAGUGGGUGAUAGCCCUGUACGCGAAAAUCCCUUUGCAAUGAAAUCGAGUAGGACGGGGCACGAGAAACCUUGUCUGAAUAUGGGGGGACCAUCCUCCAAGGCUAAAUACUACUGACUGACCGAUAGUGAACCAGUACCGUGAGGGAAAGGCGAAAAGAACCGCGGAGAGCGGAGUGAAAUAGAUCCUGAAACCGUAUGCGUACAAGCAGUGGGAGCCCACUUUGUUGGGUGACUGCGUACCUUUUGUAUAAUGGGUCAGCGACUUAUUUUCAGUGGCGAGCUUAACCGAAUAGGGGAGGCGUAGCGAAAGCGAGUCUUAAUAGGGCGUCUAGUCGCUGGGAAUAGACCCGAAACCGGGCGAUCUAUCCAUGGGCAGGUUGAAGGUUGGGUAACACUAACUGGAGGACCGAACCGACUACCGUUGAAAAGUUAGCGGAUGACCUGUGGAUCGGAGUGAAAGGCUAAUCAAGCUCGGAGAUAGCUGGUUCUCCUCGAAAGCUAUUUAGGUAGCGCCUCAUGUAUCACUGUAGGGGGUAGAGCACUGUUUCGGCUAGGGGGUCAUCCCGACUUACCAAACCGAUGCAAACUCCGAAUACCUACAAGUGCCGAGCAUGGGAGACACACGGCGGGUGCUAACGUCCGUCGUGAAAAGGGAAACAACCCAGACCGUCAGCUAAGGUCCCAAAGUCAUGGUUAAGUGGGAAACGAUGUGGGAAGGCUUAGACAGCUAGGAGGUUGGCUUAGAAGCAGCCACCCUUUAAAGAAAGCGUAAUAGCUCACUAGUCGAGUCGGCCUGCGCGGAAGAUGUAACGGGGCUCAAACCAUGCACCGAAGCUACGGGUAUCAUCUUUUGAUGAUGCGGUAGAGGAGCGUUCUGUAAGCCUGUGAAGGUGAGUUGAGAAGCUUGCUGGAGGUAUCAGAAGUGCGAAUGCUGACAUGAGUAACGACAAUGGGUGUGAAAAACACCCACGCCGAAAGACCAAGGUUUCCUGCGCAACGUUAAUCGACGCAGGGUUAGUCGGUCCCUAAGGCGAGGCUGAAAAGCGUAGUCGAUGGAAAACAGGUUAAUAUUCCUGUACUUCUGGUUAUUGCGAUGGAGGGACGGAGAAGGCUAGGCCAGCCUGGCGUUGGUUGUCCAGGUUUAAGGUGGUAGGCUGAGAUCUUAGGUAAAUCCGGGAUCUUAAGGCCGAGAGCUGAUGACGAGUGUUCUUUAGAACACGAAGUGGUUGAUGCCAUGCUUCCAAGAAAAGCUUCUAAGCUUCAGGUAACCAGGAACCGUACCCCAAACCGACACAGGUGGUUGGGUAGAGAAUACCAAGGCGCUUGAGAGAACUCGGGUGAAGGAACUAGGCAAAAUGGCACCGUAACUUCGGGAGAAGGUGCGCCGGUGAGGGUGAAGCAUUUACUGCGUAAGCUCAUGCCGGUCGAAGAUACCAGGCCGCUGCGACUGUUUAUUAAAAACACAGCACUCUGCAAACACGAAAGUGGACGUAUAGGGUGUGACGCCUGCCCGGUGCCGGAAGGUUAAUUGAUGGGGUUAGCGCAAGCGAAGCUCUUGAUCGAAGCCCCGGUAAACGGCGGCCGUAACUAUAACGGUCCUAAGGUAGCGAAAUUCCUUGUCGGGUAAGUUCCGACCUGCACGAAUGGCGUAACGAUGGCGGCGCUGUCUCCACCCGAGACUCAGUGAAAUUGAAAUCGCUGUGAAGAUGCAGUGUAUCCGCGGCUAGACGGAAAGACCCCGUGAACCUUUACUAUAGCUUUGCACUGGACUUUGAAUUUGCUUGUGUAGGAUAGGUGGGAGGCUUUGAAGCGUGGACGCCAGUCUGCGUGGAGCCAACCUUGAAAUACCACCCUGGCAACUUUGAGGUUCUAACUCAGGUCCGUUAUCCGGAUCGAGGACAGUGUAUGGUGGGUAGUUUGACUGGGGCGGUCUCCUCCUAAAGAGUAACGGAGGAGUACGAAGGUGCGCUCAGACCGGUCGGAAAUCGGUCGUAGAGUAUAAAGGCAAAAGCGCGCUUGACUGCGAGACAGACACGUCGAGCAGGUACGAAAGUAGGUCUUAGUGAUCCGGUGGUUCUGUAUGGAAGGGCCAUCGCUCAACGGAUAAAAGGUACUCCGGGGAUAACAGGCUGAUACCGCCCAAGAGUUCAUAUCGACGGCGGUGUUUGGCACCUCGAUGUCGGCUCAUCACAUCCUGGGGCUGAAGCCGGUCCCAAGGGUAUGGCUGUUCGCCAUUUAAAGUGGUACGCGAGCUGGGUUUAGAACGUCGUGAGACAGUUCGGUCCCUAUCUGCCGUGGACGUUUGAGAUUUGAGAGGGGCUGCUCCUAGUACGAGAGGACCGGAGUGGACGAACCUCUGGUGUUCCGGUUGUCACGCCAGUGGCAUUGCCGGGUAGCUAUGUUCGGAAAAGAUAACCGCUGAAAGCAUCUAAGCGGGAAACUUGCCUCAAGAUGAGAUCUCACUGGAACCUUGAGUUCCCUAAAGGGCCGUCGAAGACUACGACGUUGAUAGGUUGGGUGUGUAAGCGCUGUGAGGCGUUGAGCUAACCAAUACUAAUUGCCCGUGAGGCUUGACCAU